UACGAAUGGAGCGAGCGUUGUUCGGAAUCACUGGGCGUAAAGCGUGCGCAGGCGGUUGUGAAAGUUAGAAGUGAAAUCCCAGAGCUUAACUUUGGAAUUGCUUUUAAAACUCCACAACUAGAGUACUGGAGAGGUUAGCGGAAUUCCGAGUGUAGAGGUGAAAUUCGCAGAUAUUCGGAGGAACACCAAUGGCGUAGGCAGCUAACUGGACAGUAACUGACGCUCAGGCACGAAAGCGUGGGGAUCAAACAGG
rnacentral:rRNA from 1 species